GGUUUUCAAUCUCACCAAAUACGAUAACGGUCGUAGUAUGAGAUGUGAAGUUAAAAAUCCACAAUUCCCAAAUUUAGAGUUAGUGCAGCUAUACAGGCCAAAUAUUACAUAUGCUCCAAUUAUCACAGUAUCAGGACAGGAUAAUGGAGUUGCCUACCUUGGUGAUGACGUGUUUCUUACUUGCCACGUGGACAGUAAUCCUCCAUCAACGCUCUCGUGGUACAACCAAACUCACUUAAUCAAAGAAUUGUAUGGAGCAAAGAACUUUGAUCUACAGCUCGUGAAUAUAUCGUUUGACCAUUCUCAGACAUACACCUGCGUAGCUCACAAUAGCAUUGGUAGCAUUAAAUCGAAAAACGUCACUCUGGUCGUAAAAGAUUCAGAAAGCCAGACAAACUGCGGAAGUCUAACAGUUGAGGCAAAUAAUUUGGCAGAGGAACACACGGCUAUAUUACAGUUUAGUAUACACCCAGGCAGACCGAUAAAAUGGGCAAAGAAAAUCAACUCGACAUUUCAGCAGUUGUUCAAAGGCAACAAAUAUGAAUUUACAAAGAAUGAUGAGAAAACAAUACACAACCUGUUGAUUUUUUUAAGUAAAUACAGUGACAGUGGGGAAUAUAGAGUGAAUUGUGAUACUGCAGUGUCAAAUUCGGUACAUCUUUAUAUUGAGAAAACGUUUCCCAGUGCAGCGACAGGGUCCAGUAGUUUAUCCUUUGUAGUACCAGUUGUUGUUGGCUGUACAGUUGUUGUGGUUACAGCCGUAAUAGCCGUUAUAGUGUUUGUCACUUGUCUAAAGAGGCGACAAAAUGCACAAGUGGAAAUGAAAGAAACAGAUCAAAGGAGUACAGGUCCUGGAAGAAACGCGGCUCUCUAUGUAAAUACGGAUCAACAACAGUACGAGAGUGUACUAUCAACAACAGAUAGGGAAGAAACCCAUACCUAUUCAAAAUUAGGCGCUGAUGACGAGAAAACAAACCUUCAGUCCCAAGGAGAGGUCAGCCUUGUGCUUGCCGAACUUGAUCUAAAGCAAAAUUCAGACAAUACUGUCAGAAAACCUUUAUCGCUACCGGAUGAACAAAAUAAUGGAGUGCAGGAAAGUUACAUUGAAAAAUAGUAAAAUGAAAAAUGAAUAAUUGAGUCGGAAUUUACGACGAAUCGACGCAAAAAUGUCAUACAUAGCGACGUAGAAUAGUAGGAUGUCGAUGGUAGGAUGUUGGUUGGUAUGACUGCGACAGUAGGACAGUACAUUAGCGAUAAGUCUCACUACGUUAACGCAAAACAACCAGUUUAUGAAGAGCUAGAACAAAAACUGGAUAAGGAAGAAACCCAUUAUUCAAAACUAGCUACAGAUUAAGAUGAAAGUUAUUCCAGAGCAUGCUGGAUAAUUGAGGAUCGAGGAGAAGUGAACCAGUGGUACGGAACAGUUAAACAAUUACAGACGUGAAUGCAUCUAAUGAAAGUGGUACCAAACACAACAUGCCUUAGAUGUUGUUGCUGUUGUUGUUGAUAUUCUUGGUUAAUUAAUUAAUAUCCUUAUUUUUAUAUAUCUUAUUAUUGCUCUUGUCUAGUGUUCAGUUGUGUUUCAGUUCUUUGUUUAUAUUAAUAUAGUGUUUGUUUAUAUUUAGUGAGUGAAGGACAUUCUCUAACAUUGUCAGAACUUGUUCGAACCUUUUGCCUUUUGUUAAUUAUUUGUAGAUGUAUGUUAUUUUGUUAUUGAGGAUAUCUUAAAAUAUAUAUAGACGUACCUUUUGGCGUUUCUAUAAUACAAUGCAUGAUCAUGAAGUAUGCAAAUGAAACUCUUCACAGAAUGUCAGCUAAACAUAACCAUGUGACUAGUCAUCAUUUUCUUUGCAGCUCAUAAACACAAUGCGGGAAACUUGAAUCAGAAUGAGAUAAGAACGCCUUUUCAUCAUGUUCUCGAGUCAUCACUUCGUGUUCUCAUGUCAUUACCUCGUAUUCCCAUGUCAUCGCCUCGUGUUCUUUUGUCAUAUUCUCAUGCCCUCGUAUCAUGUCCGCGUUUCAUGACUUCGUGUUCCCGUGCCAUUGCCUCGUGUUCUCAUGUCAUCGCUUUAUGUGCCGUUAUAUCGUCUUCUCGUGUCAUCGCUUUGUGCUUUUGUUAUUGCAUCACGGUAUCGUAUUAUCGGAUCUUGUCCUUGUGUCAUCGCAAUAUGUUCUCUUGUCAUCUCAUCGUGCUCUCAUGUGAUCGUUAUAUGUUUGCAAGCAUUCGCAUUUUGCUCUCAUGUCAUCGUAUCGUAAUCCCGUAUUUCAACCUUACCAAUCCAAAGACCUAGAGCGCGAGCUAACGUAACUACGAAAUACCGUUAGGGCCAUCGCCUUUGGAUGUGUUGAUCUGAAACGCGAUACGCGAUAGUACGAUAAUGAAAACGUGAAAUCACGAAACUAUGAUAACGAAAACGCGACAACACGAUGAUGAUAACGCGAUACUACGAUAACGAAAACGCGAUAAUACCAUAGUACGAUGAUGAUAAUACGAUAAACUAUCGCGUUUUCACCAUCGUACUGUCGCGUUGUCACCAUCAUCUUUUCAUAUUAUCGCGUUUUCGUUAUCGUAGUAUCGUGAUUUGGCAAUUUCAGUAUCGUACUAUUGCGUUAUCACCAUCGUACUGUCGCGUUUUCGUCAUCGUACUGUAGUGGUUAUCACCACCUUAUUGUCGCGUUAACAUCAUCGUACAACCGCGUUAUCAACAUCGCACUGUCGUGUUAUCAACAUCGUACUGUCGCGUUAUCACCAUCGUACUAUUGCGUUAUCAUCAUCGUUCUAUCGCCUUCCGGUGCCCAUGCGCAUAGAAAAAUUCCCCUUCAGUGUUCUGGUUUCUAUUUUUCUUGUUAUUUAAGUACUGUUAAAAUUAAAAAUGAUUUCUAUUGCUUGUUCAUGGGUUGUAUAACGAUUUUAGCUUAAACCAAAUAUGUAAUUUGGCAAAAACUAUGCAGGUCAACCGCUUUGAGUUUUUUAUAUAGAACAAGAUUAUGAUUACAAAAGAGAAUGUCAUAUUAUACCAUGAUAAGGGCGGGUUUUUGUGUCUGACAUGAAUAUUUUCACGAAUAUGAUGGCUUUUAUUUCUACACUGAAGAUAGAAGCAAGUGCAUAUCUUGUUAAGCUCAAGCUAUCGAUGUUGAAUUCCAUAAGACGCAUAACCACACUGAAAUUGGAGCAUCGCAAAUAUUCGAAGAAUAUUCUGUGCAGUUUGCACGGCACAUAUUUUCAUUUUAAUGCAUCAAAGUCUGUCAAUUUUCUGCAAAAGUAGUUUUCAUUUCAAUUUAGAUUUUUACAUGUCAAAAUAAAAAGUUAACGCCCUUUACUCAGGAAUUUUAUUUUUGAUUUUACAGGAAUGAGAAAUGCAGUCAAAUUAUAACAUCCCACACGCUUAGCCUUCUUAAAUUACUUUUCUGUAAAUGCCUCUAAAGUUGACGAAAGCUGAAAAGGCAUACAGAAUGAAUGGUUAAUUAUAUUGCUUUUUGCUAACUAGCAGCUGUAGCUUUAGGAGGAUAAUCGAUAAAAAUCAUGUUUUUCACACACGUGGACGGUUCGAAUCUGCAUAUCGCCCUAUCGCAAGAGCAGGAGCGGUAGUUUUAAAAGCGUAGUUUCUAACCUUCUGGUUUUUAGCAUGUACAUGCGCACCGGAAGGCGAUGAUGCGAUAAUGAUAAUGCUUACAGUACGAUGAUGAUAACGCGACAGUACGAUGGUGAUAACGCGACAGUAUGAUGGUAAUAACGCGAUAGUACGAUAAUGAAAUUGCAAAAUCACGAUACUACGAUAACGAAAACGCGAUAAUACGAUAAGACGAUGGUGAAAACGCGACAGUACGAUGAUGAAAACGCGAUAUUAUAUCGCAUUAUCAUCAUCGUACUAUCGUAUUAUCGCGAUUUCGUUAUUGUGAUAUCGCGUUAUCAUCAUCGUGUUGUCGCGUUUUCGUUAUCGUAGUUUCGUGAUUUCGCGUUUUCAUCAUCGUAUUAUCGAGUAUCGCGUUUCAGAUCAACACAUUCAAAGGCGAUGGCCCUAACGGAAUUCCGUACGGAACACCUUAGUAUUGCCACAGUUAUAAAUUUUCGAAACCAAAGUCAUAAUUAUCAUGUAAAGUCAUAAUUGCACUUGCCAGUCAUUCCAAAUCUGGAGCAGAUAAUUUAAUGAGCAUUUACAUUUCUUUUCAUUUUUACGAUUUCUGUAGGAAACAAUAUAAUUAUUUUUCAAUAACUUUAAUUAAGCUUCAGUAUAAAAGCAAUGGAAUAGUAGAGUAAACGUGUUCAGAAAUAUAUUUUUUUUUGCAAAAUAUGAGUAAAUCAUAAGAGAUGUUGAAUUCUUCAAAAAAUACAAUUCGAUUAUGUGCCUCUUUAAAUGUUUUUACAAACAUUCUCUGUACGUUUUUUUUUUUAUAUUUUUUUGUAACCUUUCUGAACAGCUGAUCAUCUGAUAUGUUUAUUUAAAAUGUAGAAAAUAGCAAUGUAAUUGUGUGAUGGAGUAUUUUUAUUGUCUUAAUGUAUACUGCAAUAAAUACCAUAUGAAUUUAUUUAUAUCUCUCAUACUUCUAUUUACAGAUUACAAGAUUUACAUGAAUAAUGCAUCAUAAUGCAUGUAAUUAUACUAAGUCAUGAACAGUGAGUCUUCGAGCAUAAAAUAACGCCACACCUGUUGUUUA